AUUGAACGCUGGCGGCAGGCCUAACAAAUGCAAGUCGAACGAGUGGCGGACGGGUGAGUAAUGUCUGGGAAACUGCCUGAUGGAGGGGGAUAACUACUGGAAACGGUAGCUAAUACCGCAUACAAUCGGAUGUGCCCAGAUGGGAUUAGCUCGUAGGUGGGGUAAAGGCUAACCUAGGCGACGAUCCCUAGCUGGUCUGAGAGGAUGAACAGCCACACGGGAGCUGAAACACGGUCCAGAUCACUACGGGGGGGAGCAGUGGGGAAGAUUGCACAAUGGGCGCAAGCCUGAGGCAGCCAUGCCGCGGGUAUGAAGAAGGCCUUCGGGUUGUAAAGUACUUUCAGCGGGGAGGCGUUACCCGCAGAAGAAGCACCGGCUAACUCCGUGCCAGCAGCCGCGGUAAUAC
rnacentral:rRNA from 1 species